GAUAAAAAUUGGGAUGGCCCUACUACCAAGUAUGUGGAGAACUUCAAGUAUCCAAAAGAUGGUUCAUCACCAAAGUCCCUAAGAUAUAUUGGAAGCAUGGUGGCUGAUGUUCACCGCACAUUGCUUUAUGGAGGUAUUUUUCUGUACCCAGCUGAUAAAAAGAGUCCAAAUGGAAAAC